CCGCGUGUGUGAAGAAGGCCUUCGGGUUGUAAAGCACUUUAAGCGAGGAGGAAGGUUCGUUACUUAAUACGUAACGGAAUUGACGUUACUCGCAGAAUAAGCACCGGCUAACUCUGUGCCAGCAGCCGCGGUAAUACAGAGGGUGCAAGCGUUAAUCGGAAUUACUGGGCGUAAAGCGCGCGUAGGCGGUUGCGUAAGUUGGAGGUGAAAUCCCCGGGCUCAACCUGGGCAUUGCCUUCAAAACUGCGCAGCUAGAGUAUUGGAGAGGAAGGUAGAAUUCCAGGUGUAGC
rnacentral:rRNA from 1 species